rfam:Oryza sativa Japonica Group DNA, chromosome 2, cultivar: Nipponbare, complete sequence.
AAAAAAUCAAACCCUGAAUUUCCGUGACAACGUUUGACUAUCCGUCUUAUAUGAAAUUUUUUUAUAAUUAAUAUUUUCAUUGUUGUUAGAUGAUAAAACAUGAUUAAUACUUUAUGCGUGACUUAUCUUUUUAAUGUUUUAAUAUUUUUUAAAAUAAGACGAACGGUCAAACGUUAGACUUGCC